UUUAAGUAUCGACUUGGAGCAAGUUUGUUUAGCCUAGAUUAGUAAUAAUACAACUGUUAGAGCAAAAGCUAGAUUAUGACGUGCUGUUUUCUCAAUAAAAUCUCAUUUUAAUACGCAAAAGAACAACAGAAAAAAAAAGUAUGAUAAGGAACGAAUUUGCGGGACAUCUGGAAUUUGACGUUAGGCAUAUGUUGAAAUUUUGGAAAAAAAAAUAUUACUCUGUUUGCAGAAAUACGAGUGACAAAAAUAUCUGAAGCUGGAAGAUAACUGGAUAUCUAACUUCCUGCAGAUGCGUUAAAUGUGAAGUCUGGGGCGCAGCUCAAGUAUAUGAUUAACGUUUCUAUAGGAUCACGCAAAGAAUGGUCUGAAAUCCCCAGAACUAGAAAUAUCCCUUCUAUUUCCUUUUUAUUCUGGCAGUGGAGGAAGAAGGAAGCUGAAAAUAAGAGGAAAGUUGAACAAUGGUCACCGGGAUUUUCGAGCCAGUGGUCCGAAGCAAUGGAAUUAGAAUCAAUGAACCGAAAUUUAGCCAGUGGAGAUUUCAUAUCCAGAUUUAGAUUGGGUUAAAAGUUCGAAAGGUGCAGAGAAUAUAUAUUCUGAUAAAGCAAAAAAUAGGAGCAUAAGGCAAGUGGAGAGUAAUUAAACUGAUGAAAUUUAUUCGAUAUUUUUAACUAAAAAAAAUGGUAUUCUAUUUAGGGUUUGGGGUCUUAUUGUUUUUGGUUUUUUUUAAUUACACUCUAGGUAAAGGAUUUUAAAAAGUAAUUUGUGAUAAAAUUAAUUGUAAAGCGCUAAAUGUUUUAACAACUUUUAUACGAUAUAUCUUAGAUUCUAAGAAGCAGUUUUUUGAAACACAGACUUUAAUGUCAGCAUUGCAAAUGAAAAAAAAAAAAAAAAAAAAAAAAAAAAAAAAAAAAAAAAA